rnacentral:ncRNA from 1 species
AUCCACUAGGGGUGCCUUUAAAAGGCUGAGAUUAAAGUGUAACUUUAAGACUCUUAGAACCUGAUCUGAUUGAUACCAGCGUAGGGAAGUGGCGUAUA